rnacentral:rRNA from 1 species
GACGAACGCUGGCGGCGUGCUUAACACAUGCAAGUCGAACGGAAAGGCCCUGCUUUUGUGGGGUGCUCGAGUGGCGAACGGGUGAGUAAUACGUGAGUACCCUGCCCUUGACUGUGGGAUAACUUCAGGAAACUGGGGCUAAUACCGGAUAGGAGCUCCUGCUGCAUGGUGGGGGUUGGAAAGUUUCGGCGGUUGGGGAUGGACUCGCGGCUUAUCAGCUUGUUGGUGGGGUAGUGGCUUACCAAGGCUUUGACGGGUAGCCGGCCUGAGAGGUUGACCGGCCACAUGGGGACUGAGAUACGGCCCAGACUCCUACGGGAGGCAGCAGUCGGGAAUAUUGCACAACGGGCGGAAGCGUGAGGCAGCAACGCCGCGUGCGGGAUGACGGCCUUCGGGUUGUAAACCGCUUGCGCCUGUGACGAAGCGUGAGUGACGGUAACGGGUAAAGAAGCACCGGCUAACUACGUG